AGCGGCGGACGGGUGAGUAACACGUGGGUAACCUGCCUGUAAGACUGGGAUAACUCCGGGAAACCGGGGCUAAUACCGGAUGGUUGUUUGAACCGCAUGGUUCAAACAUAAAAGGUGGCUUCGGCUACCACUUACAGAUGGACCCGCGGCGCAUUAGCUAGUUGGUGAGGUAACGGCUCACCAAGGCAACGAUGCGUAGCCGACCUGAGAGGGUGAUCGGCCACACUGGGACUGAGACACGGCCCAGACUCCUACGGGAGGCAGCAGUAGGGAAUCUUCCGCAAUGGACGAAAGUCUGACGGAGCAACGCCGCGUGAGUGAUGAAGGUUUUCGGAUCGUAAAGCUCUGUUGUUAGGGAAGAACAAGUACCGUUCGAAUAGGGCGGUACCUUGACGGUACCUAACCAGAAAGCCACGGCUAACUACGUGCCAGCAGCCGCGGUAAUACGUAGGUGGCAAGCGUUGUCCGGAAUUAUUGGGCGUAAAGGGCUCGCAGGCGGUUUCUUAAGUCUGAUGUGAAAGCCCCCGGCUCAACCGGGGAGGGUCAUUGGAAACUGGGGAACUUGAGUGCAGAAGAGGAGAGUGGAAUUCCACGUGUAGCGGUGAAAUGCGUAGAGAUGUGGAGGAACACCAGUGGCGAA
rnacentral:rRNA from 1 species